GUGUGAGCCGCGAAUGGCUCAUUACAACAGCCAUUGUUUACUGGAUAUAUCAUUACUACAUGGAUAACUGUGGUAAUUCUACAGCUAAUACACGCUGCGAAACCCCGACUAACGGAGGGGUGCGUUUGUUACUUCAAAUCAAUCGGACUUCGGUCUGAUAUCAAGUGAAAUUGAACAAUUUAGCUGAUCGCACGGUCUUGAACCGGCGACAUAUCCUUCAAACGUCUGCCUUAUCAACUGUCGAUGGUAGAUUAUGCGCCUACCAUGGUUGUAACGGGUAACGGAGAAUCAGGGUUUGAUUCCGGAGAGGGAGCCUGAGAAACGGCUACCACAUCCAAGGAAGGCAGCAGGCACGCAAAUUACCCACUCCCGGCACGGGGAGGUAGUGACGAAAAAUAACAAGCUGGUCUCUAUGAGUUCCGGCAUUGUAAUGGGAACAAUUUAAAUCAUUUAUCGAGGAUCUAUUGGAGGGCAAGUCUGGUGCCAGCAGCCGCGGUAAUUCCAGCUCCAAUAGCGUAUAUUAAAGUUGUUGCGGUUAAAAAGCUCGUAGUUGGAUCUACGACCAAGUCUUGUGGUCGCUCUGCCUGAGUGAACUGCAUUGACUGGUCCAUUUAUCUAGUAUUCGAUUGAUGCUCUUCACUGAGUGUCUCUAGUUGCUGGAACUUUUACCUUGAAAAAAUUGAAGUGCUCAAAGCAGGCUAAAGCCUGAACAUUGCUGCAUGGGAUAAUAGAAUAGGACUUCGGUUCUAUUUUGUUGGUUUCGGAACACGAAGUAAUGAUUAAUAGGGACAGACGGGGGCAUUCGUAUUGCUGCGUUAGAGGUGAAAUUCUUGGAUCGUAGCAAGACGAACUACUGCGAUAAGCAUUGCC
rnacentral:rRNA from 1 species